rnacentral:rRNA from 1 species
UACAGAGACUGCGAGCGUUAUUCGGAUUCACUGGGCGUAAAGGGCGCGUAGGCGGCCUUCUAAGUCGGACGUGAAAUCCCCAGGCUUAACUUGGGAACUGCGUCCGAUACUGGAGGGCUUGAGUGCGGGAGAGGGAUGUGGAAUUCCAGGUGUAGCGGUGAAAUGCGUAGAUAUCUGGAGGAACACCGGUGGCGAAGGCGGCAUCCUGGACCGACACUGACGCUGAUGCGCGAAAGCCAGGGGAGCAAACGGG